AGAAAUUCUUAAUAAAUGUUUCAAAAAAUUGACUAUGUGAUAUAGUGGAAUAAUACGGUUAUAUUAGCAUUUAGAAUCUUAUGAAGUGAUAAAUAUUUUUAUAGUUAUCGAGCAUACUAAAGCUCUCAUUCAAGACUUGAGCAUGACUCGAGAGUAAGGUGUUUUUAUAGUACUGGCAUUGGACUUCAGGUUUGGACUGUUUGAUGAAGUGAAAGAACGUUAUUGUGGAGUCAUAUUUGUUGUCGCUUAACAAUUUAUGAAGUGGAAUUUAAUAUGAAAUAAUUAUAGCAAUCUUUCUUAUUAUUUGGAAUGAUUGAUUUAUUAUUGUAUUAAGUAUGAUAGAGACAAAUUAUAAUACUUACAUUUGAUUGAUAA